AACGAACGCUGGCGGCAGGCUUAACACAUGCAAGUCGAACGCAUCGCAAGAUGAGUGGCAGACGGGUGAGUAACGCGUGGGAACAUACCCUUUUCUACGGAAUAGCUCUGGGAAACUGGAAUUAAUACCGUAUACGCCCUACGGGGGAAAGAUUUAUCGGGGAAGGAUUGGCCCGCGUUGGAUUAGCUAGUUGGGGGGGUAAAGGCCUACCAAGGCGACGAUCCAUAGCUGGUCUGAGAGGAUGAUCAGCCACAUUGGGACUGAGACACGGCCCAAACUCCUACGGGAGGCAGCAGUGGGGAAUAUUGGACAAUGGGCGAAAGCCUGAUCCAGCCAUGCCGCGUGAGUGAUGAAGGCCUUCGGGUUGUAAAGCUCUUUCGCACGCGACGAUGAUGACGGUAGCGUGAGAAGAAGCCCCGGCUAACUUCGUGCCAGCCGCCGCAGUAACAC
rnacentral:rRNA from 1 species